rnacentral:rRNA from 1 species
UCCUACAGCUAUACUACCCUAAAGGUGUCCAAUCUUGUUUGAUCUCAGAAGCUAAGCAGGGUCAGGUCUGGUAAAUACUUGAAUGGGAGGGCAGCGCCUAUGACUCAGUGAGUAGGGC